UGGAGCAAGUGGAAGGUGUCUCUCGUUGCAGCUGGGUGGGCUUUAAGGUCCCUCUAUCAUCUGUGUGAAGCUCAAGGCUCUGUUCUUCCCCAGCAGCAUCCCAACAUGGAAGGCGAUCCUAGGGCAUGGGAUGGUUGAUGCCCAGCUCAGCCUUGGACAGGGUCAUUUGGCUGCUGGAUGAUGACCGUGACCUGCCGGUGCGUAGGCCUCAGGAAUUACUUGGUGGAAAAGAGCUGCUGAGCCCCUCGCUGUGGGGAAGGGAUAGGCUUUGCCUGCCUUAGGGCCUGCAUCGUGGGAAGCUGACGUGGAACCGGGUCUGCAUGGAGCUGAGGUGGGAGCUGGUCCUUGAGGGCUGCAGCAGCUCUGCAGAGCCACAUCCUGGCUCCUUCCUGAGCUCCACUCACUGCACCCACCAAGAGGGACCCUGCCUGGCUCCUGCUGCAGUCCUGCAUGGAAGGACUGGAGUUUUCCAAGGAGAAGAGCUUGGAGGGGAGGGUCUGGGUAUGGAAUGUUGGAAGGUGAAUAAACAAUCACACG